CCUACGGGAGGCAGCAGUGAGGAAUAUUGGUCAAUGGACGAGAGUCUGAACCAGCCAAGUAGCGUGAAGGAUGACUGCCCUAUGGGUUGUAAACUUCUUUUAUAUGGGAAUAAAAUGUUCCACGUGUGGGAUUUUGUAUGUACCAUAUGAAUAAGGAUCGGCUAACUCCGUGCCAGCAGCCGCGGUAAUACGGAGGAUCCGAGCGUUAUCCGGAUUUCUUGGGGUUAAGGGGAGCGUAGGUGGAUUGUUAAGUCAGUUGUGAAAGUUUGCGGCUCAACCGUAACAUUGCAGUUGAAACUGGCAGUCUUGAGUACAGUAGAGUUUGGCUGAAUUCGUGGUGUAGCGGUGAAAUGCUUCGAUAUCACGAAGAACUCCGAUUGCGAAGGCAGCUCACUGGACUGCACCUGACACUGAGGCUCGAACGUGCGGGUAUCAAACAGGAUUAGAUACCCCAGUAGUC
rnacentral:rRNA from 1 species